UACGUAGGGUGCAAGCGUUUGUCCGGAAUUAUUGGGCGUAAAGAGCUUGUAGGUGGUUUGUCGCGUCUGCUGUGAAAAUCCGGGGCUCAACCCCGGACUUGCAGUGGGUACGGGCAGACUAGAGUGCGGUAGGGGAGACUGGAAUUCCUGGUGUAGCGGUGAAAUGCGCAGAUAUCAGGAGGAACACCGGUGGCGGAAGGCGGGUCUCUGG
rnacentral:rRNA from 1 species